rnacentral:rRNA from 1 species
GUAGUCCACGCCGUAAACGAUGAUAACUAGCUGUUCGGGCACAUGGUGCUUGAGUGGCGCAGCUAACGCAUUAAGUUAUCCGCCUGGGGAGUACGGCCGCAAGGUUAAAACUCAAAGGAAUUGACGGGGGCCUGCACAAGCGGUGGAGCAUGUGGUUUAAUUCGACGCAACGCGCAGAACCUUACCAGCGUUUGACAUGGUUAGUAUGAUUUCCAGAGAUGGAUUUCUUCAGUUCGGCUGGCUAACACACAGGUGCUGCAUGGCUGUCGUCAGCUCGUGUCGUGAGAUGUUGGGUUAAGUCCCGCAACGAGCGCAACCCUCAUCCUUAGUUGCCAUCAUUCAGUUGGGCACUCCAAGGAAACUGCCGGUGAUAAGCCGGAGGAAGGUGGGGAUGACGUCAAGUCCUCAUGGCCCUUAUACGCUGGGCUACACACGUGCUACAAUGGCGACCACAGUGAGCUGCGACCCCGCAAGGGUGAGCUAAUCUCCAAAAGUCGUCUCAGUUCGGAUUGUUCUCUGCAACUCGAGAGCAUGAAGGCGGAAUCGCUAGUAAUCGCGGAUCAGCAUGCCGCGGUGAAUACGUUCCCAGGCCUUGUACACACCGCCCGUCACACCAUGGG